rnacentral:rRNA from 1 species
CCUACGGGCGGCAGCAGUGGGGAAUAUUGCACAAUGGGGGGAACCCUGAUGCCGCAACGCCGCGUGGGUGAAGAAGUACUUCGGUAUGUAAAGCCCUGUCAGCAGUGAAGAAAAUGACGGUACCUGAACAAGAAGCACCGGCUAACUACGUGCAAGCAGCCGCGGUAAGACGUAGGGGGCAAGAGUUAUCCGGAUUUACUGGGUGUAAAGGGAGCGUAGACGGCAAGGCAAGUCGGGAGUGAAAGCCCGUGGCGCAACCACGGGACUGCUUUGGAAACUGUGUUGCUGGAGUGCAGGAGGGGUAAGCGGAAUUCCUAGUGUAGCGGUGAAAUGCGUAGAUAUUAGGAGGAACACCGGUGGAGAAGGCGGCUUACUGGACUGUAACUGACGUUGAGGCUCGAAGGCGUGGGGAGCAAACAGGAUUAGAUACCCUAGUAGUC